UUCGUCACCUUAGUGUCGGUUUUCGCUUGCACUAGGUACUGUAAGAGUCAAACCUGCCAACAUAACAGUGUAAGAAACAGUGCUGCUAACAUUUAAAUAAAUAUGACGUUUGCUAACGAAAUAAGUGGGUCUAGACAAAGUGCAAAUUAUAAUCGCAAACCAGUCGAAAAGUGGUCGAAAAGCCCCUUUUUUGUAUGGAGUUUUGACGGAUUCGAUUUUCGAUUCAAUCAAAAAGUGCGUUUUGUCUAGGGGGGCAGCAAUCCGGUAUUGACCGUGGCGCCCCACUGUCAAUGUCAUGCAUAGGACAGUUCAGUAUUUUGGAACUAUAGUAGCAAAUAGAUAUGAUUUUGCAUGCAAAACUUAUUUCUGAUUACUUAUUAAUCUUCUACAAGAUGUUUAUCUGUUAUAUGGGCUAAUUUUGCCAAACUGCAUUUUGUGUAGGUAAAUAUAAUGUUUCAUCACCACCAUGCCAUGCCCGUAUAAUAGUGAAUGCAAUGUUAUGAUGUGAUUGUGAAAAAACAAUGGGAGAAAGUCCAAUGUCCUGCCUAGUAUACUGUGGGUGCGAGUUAUUAUUUAUAAGAAAUAGUGUAAAUUCAUAAGUAGAUAGUGUAAGUAAAAUUGUUAAUAAAACAUGUUAUAAAACAAUAACAAUCUUUAAUUCAAAUAGUAAAAAUUCAAUUUGGACUCCAAAAAGACCAGUAACAAUACAAAAACUUUUCAAAAAUCAUUUGAAAUGUUCCAAUUCAUACAAUUUCUUCAACAUCACUGUUUCUUCACUUAUACAAUGUUUUUGUAAACAUUUUACUAGCACAUUACAAACAAGCAUCAAAGUCCAAAUGCUACAAAACAUUUAUAAAUACUUGAAUAUUG